rnacentral:tRNA from 1 species
GGUGGUCAUAGCUCAGUUGGUUAGAGCGUCGGUUUGUGGUUCCGAAGGUCGCGGGUUCGACCCCCGUUUUCCACCC